CACAAAUCGGUCCUUUCAAUCCUACAGACUCUCUUGUCUGAUAUGGCACAGAGAUGAUCCACUUGCAGGCAAUGGUCUAGCUGAAAACGGACUGGAACAAUUCCAGAACGUUCUCACGAGAUGACUGUCCGUAGGUUGAGGCAUCACGCUGCCAAAGGAUAGCUUUGGCAUUUUGCCUAACGCUUGCAUUUUAUUUUUUUUUUGGAGGAGAGGAGGAGGAGUCUGCCACGGGACUCAGCACUCGUGUCCAUUGCCCUGCUCCAGUGGCUCUUGAGGGGUGUUCAUUCAGAAACCUUCAUCAGUCCUCUGGUUGGGGUUCAGUGGACCUGCAGUGUACAGCACCAGAUCCAUGCGCUGCUGAUGAAGCACCAGAAACUAGAAGCAACCUAAGAAACUCCUACAACCUAUGAAACGCAACAUAAGCAACAUGACGCUUAAAGACACGUGAAGUCGACUACUUAUCCCUUACCUUUUCCUAUGGUCGGCUUCUGGUCGUCUGUUGCUUGGUUGGCAGGUCAUGGGGAUGGUCUGCUGUGAAAUGACCUAUUUUUUUUUUUUUUUUUUUUUAAAGGCUGAGUGCAAAUUUCAGAAAAAAAUAAAAACAGAAAAAUAUGUGAAACUGAAACAAA